CUUGAUCCUACCAGUAGUUAUAUGGUUCUCUCAAAGGUUAAGCCAUACGUGUAUCAGUACAUCCAUGUUGAGGCAAAAUCACAAAUGGUUCAUUAAAUGGAUUGUGGUUUCUUGGAUUAAACCUUGUUAAUUGGAUAACUCUGGCAAUUCCAGAGCUAAUACAUGCAGCAGAGCUCUGACCCCCUGGAAACAAGCAUUUUUAUUAGCCAAAAACUUAUCAAACCUUGUAUCCAUAUUAUGUGGUGACUAUGUGACUUUAGACUGAAUGCAUCAGCUUGUCCUGCAAUUUAUCUUUCAAGUAUUCAACUGUCGACGGUAGUUUGCACACCUAUUACAUCAUAAGGGGUGAUGGGGAAGCAAGGUUUGACUCCGAAGAGGAAGCCUGAGAAAUAAAUGGCUACCACAUCUAAGAAGGUCAGCAGGCAUGCAAACAACCCACUCCCAGAAUGAGGAGGUAGUGCUAAAAAAUAAUAAUAUGAGACUCUUUUAAGACCCCGUAACUGGAAUGAGUACACUGUAAAUUCUCUAAUGAGGAUCAAUUGAAGGGCAAAUCUGAUGCCAGCAGCCAUGGUAAUUCCAGCUCCUAUAGUGUAUCUA
rnacentral:ncRNA from 1 species